UACGUAGGGGUCGAGCGUCGUCCGGAGUUACUGGGCGUAAAGCGUGUGCAGGCGGCUCAUCGCGCCCGGCGUGAAAGCCCCCGGCUCAACCGGGGAGGGUCGUCGGGGACGGAUGGGCUUGAGGGUAUCAGGGGCAGGUAGAAUUCCCGGUGUAGUGGUGAAAUGCGUAGAGAUCGGGAGGAAUACCCGUGGCGAAGGCGGCCUGCUGGGAUACACCUGACGCUGAGACACGAAGGCGUGGGGAGCGAACGGG
rnacentral:rRNA from 1 species